CCUACGGGUGGCUGCAGUGAGGAAUAUUGGUCAAUGGACGCAAGUCUGAACCAGCCAUGCCGCGUGCAGGAAGACGGCUCUAUGAGUUGUAAACUGCUUUUGUACGAGGGUAAACUCAGAUACGCGUAUCUUUCUGAAAGUACCUUACGAAUAAGGAUCGGCUAACUCCGUGCCAGCAGCCGCGGUAAUACGGAGGAUUCAAGCGUUAUCCGGAUUUAUUGGGUUUAAAGGGUGCGUAGACGGUCGGUUAAGUUAGGUGUGAAAUCCCGAGGCUCAACUUUGGAAUUGCCACUGAUACUGGUAGGCUUGAGAAUAGUUGAGGUAGGCGGAAUGUAUGGUGUAGCGGUGAAAUGCUU
rnacentral:rRNA from 1 species